GCCUUCUUAGCUCAAUCGGCAGAGUAAAUGUUUUGUAAACAUUAGGUUAUCGGUUCGAUUCCGAUAGAAGGCU
rnacentral:tRNA from 1 species